UACGUAGGGGGCAAGCGUUGUCCGGAAUUAUUGGGCGUAAAGAGCGCGUAGGCGGUCCGAUAAGUCGACUGUGAAAGUCUAGGGCUCAACCCUGGAAAGCCGGUCGAUACUGUCGGACUAGAGUCCGGAAGAGGCAAGUGGAAUUCCCGGUGUAGCGGUGAAAUGCGCAGAUAUCAGGAGGAACACCGGUGGCGAAGGCGGUUCUCUGGGCCUGUACUGACGCUGAGGAGCGAAAGCGUGGGGAGCGAACAGG
rnacentral:rRNA from 1 species